rnacentral:sRNA from 1 species
CGCCUAAACUCGUUGGAUUUUCCACCGGGCAUGGCGCCAAAGACCCUUCACAGAUACUGAACCCCGCGUUCAGCGACUCUGUGAAGGGCUAUAUCGGGAAACCGGUAUGGGGCCGCAAGGCCU